ensembl:lncRNA
UUGCAUUCUCAACCUCUUGAAAACUGACUUUCUAAUUCACAUAAAACAAAGUAAAUUAACACAAAUACAAGACACUAAUUUUAUUAAUAAGUUCAUUAGAAAUGUUUUUUUAUAAAACUUUACAAUUCUGCUGUAAAUGCUGUUUUGGAGUGAGUAUAGCUACAGCACAUAAAACAUAAAUGUUUUUCUUUUGAAACAUGUCGUGUAAUUCCAUUUUUGCCAUGCAAAUUAUACUGUGACAGUGCUGACCUUCACCACAAGGAAGUUGAACUAUAUGUAGACAAUUCAUCUUUCAUGAAAAUGCCUGGGUCUGGAAGCUUAAAGUUUAGAGUGUUGUCAUUAGCAUCAGAAUAAGAAUAUGUGUAAGUGAAAAUAAUUUACAUACAGUCAUGUUUAUUUAUUUAUUGAAAUUAGUUAUUCUAUGUCCUUAUAAAAUGAAUUAUAUUAUUUGUGUGAUUCAAGUACUAUUUAUUCAUUUUUUCUCACAAUUAUUUUAUUGUUUAUUAGAAAGUAUAAUUAAAAAGAAAAGGAAGAAAAAAUAAUGUUCUUAUCAUAUAUACAGAAGUGAAAUGAACAAGCUAAAUUAUUUUUCCUGAAUGUAGUGGCUCUUGAUUUCAGACGGUUACUCAUUUUUCCAGACCGUCACAGACCCCCAAUUAGCAUUGCCACCCCAGGUACACAGACACUGGCACGCACCAUCGACCCGGUGAAGCCCUGAGGUUGGGAAUUUGGUUUGUGGGACUGUUUUUUGGUGUAGUUAUCAGUGUUGUUGCUACUGUUGUUGUUGUUGUUGCGGGACUUGUCUUUGUUGCUGCGAGUGGUGGUGGUGUUGUUGGUGUUGUUGUUGCUGUUGUUGUUGGUGCUGCUGCUGUUGUUGGUGGUGCUGGUCUUGUUGUUGUUGCUGCUAGUGGUGGUGGUGUUGUUGGUGUUGUUGUUGCUGCUGCUGCGGCUGUUGUUGGUGUUGCUGGUCUGGCCGUUGUUGUUGUUGCUGCUGAUGCUGGUGUUGUUGUUGUUUUUGCUGCUGCUGCUGCUACUGUUUCUACUGCUGCUGCUGCUGCUGCAGGUGUUGUAGUUGUUGUUGUUGCUGGUCUUGUUUUUGUUGCUGCUAGUGGUGGUGGUGUUGUUGCUGGUGUUGUUAUUGUUGUUGUUGCUGCUGGUGUUGUUGUUGUUGUUGUUUUUGCUGCUGCUGCUGCUACUGUUUCUACUGCUGCUGCUGCUGCUGCUGCUGCAGGUGUUGUUGUUGCUGGUCUUGCUAUUGUUGUUGUUGUGGUUGGUGGUGUUGCGGUUGUUGGUGUUGUUGUUGCUGUUGCUGCUGCUGUUGUUGGUGGUGCUGGUCUUGUUGUUGUUGUUGUUGCUAGUCUUGUCUUUGAUGCUGCUGGUGGUGUUGUUGUUGUUGUUGCUGCUGCUGUUGUUGCUGUUGUUGUUGCUGCUGCUGCUGCUGUUGUUGGUGUUGCUGGUCUUGCCAUUGUUGUUGUUGCUGCUGCUGCUGCUGCUGUUGUUGUUGCUGUUGCUGGACUUGUCUUUGUUGCUGCUAGUGGUGGUGGUGUUGUUGCUGUUGUUGUUGCUGCUGCUGUUGUUGCUGGUCUUGCCAUUGUUGUUGUUGCUGCUGGUGUUGUUGUUGUUGCUGCUGCUGCUGCUGCUGCUGCUGCUGCUGUUGUUGUUGCUGCUGUUGCUGGUAUUGUUGUUGUUGCUGGAGUUGUUGUUGUUGUUGAUGCUGCUGCUGCUGCUGUUGUUGCUGGUCUUGUCAUUGUUGCUGUUUCUGGUCUUGCCAUUGUUGAUGUUGCUGCUGGUGUUGUUGUUGCUGUUGCUGUUGGUGUUGAUUUUAUUGUUGCUGGUGUUGUUGUUGUUUUUGCUGCUGUUGCUGGUUGUGUUGUUGUUGCUGCUGCUGCUGCUGCUGCUGCUGCAGGCGUUGUUGUUGCUGGUCUUGCCGUUGUUGUUGUUGUCGUUGCUGCUGCUGUUGCAGGUGUUGUUGUUGUUGCUGCUGCUGCUGAUGGUGUUGUUGCUGUUGCUGGUAUUGUUGUCAUUGUGCUUGCUGCUGCUGCUGCAGGUGUUGUUGUUGUUGCUGGUGUUGUUGUUGCAGGUCUAACCAUUGUUGUUGUUGUUGUUGCUGGUGUUGUUGUUGCUGCUGGUCUUGUCAUUGUUGUUGCAGGUGCUGUUGUUGCUAUUGUGGUUGCAGUGGGCAUGCUGUUUAUGGUUGUAGUUUUACUUUGUGUGGUGGUCUGAAAUGUGAAAUAAUGGGAUGUUUACCACCUAUUUGCUUAUAGAACUACAUUACAAGAAGGUACAGUUAGAAUGUAAUUAAGCAUAGACAUACCCAUGUGCAGUGUUGGGGGUAACGCAUUACAAGUAAUGCGAGUUAAGUAAUCAGAUACUUUUUUCAGGUAUCUAGUAAAGUAACGCACUACUUUUUAAUUUACAGGAAAAUAUAUUUUUAAAAAAGUACAGAGGCGGAAGUACAGAGGCGUUAUGUGCUCUGUGUGAACAUGAUGUUACUGUAGUUCUAGACUAAAUGUAAAUGUGCAUUAAUUCAUCUCACUCACAAAAAAAAAAAAAAAACAGAUUUAGCAUUCAUCUAAAUCAAUUAAAACAGUGAAAUGCAAACUCAGAAUAUGAUGCAAACCUGCAAUAAUUAAAUAUGUUAAAUAAUACAAAUGCAUCUAAUCCCAUUUUAUUAACCAAUGUCUUUGCUGCUGACCAUUGAUGAUCCAGUUCAACCAUAUUAAUAAGCAAAAAUGACUUUAGAUAAACUAACAAUUGAGCUUCAUUGUUUUUUUAUUGCUGCGUUCUACUCUACAGACGUGA